rnacentral:rRNA from 1 species
UACGUAGGUGGCAAGCGUUGUCCGGAAUUAUUGGGCGUAAAGCGCGCGCAGGCGGUCCUUUAAGUCUGAUGUGAAAGCCCACGGCUCAACCGUGGAGGGUCAUUGGAAACUGGGGGACUUGAGUGCAGAAGGGGGAAAGCGGAAUUCCACGUGUAGCGGUGAAAUGCGUAGAGAUGUGGAGGAACACCAGUGGCGAAGGCGGCUUUCUGGUCUGUAACUGACGCUGAGGCGCGAAAAGCGUGGGGGAGCAAA